rnacentral:rRNA from 1 species
AGAACUUGAAACCGUGUGCUUACAAGUAGUCAGAGCCCGUUAAUGGGUGAUGGCGUGCCUUUUGUAGAAUGAACCGGCGAGUUACGAUCUGAUGCAAGGUUAAGCAGCAAAUGUGGAGCCGCAGCGAAAGCGAGUCUGAAUAGGGCGUUGAGUAUUUGGUCGUAGACCCGAAACCAGGUGAUCUACCCUUGGUCAGGUUGAAGUUCAGGUAACACUGAAUGGAGGACCGAACCGACUUACGUUGAAAAGUGAGCGGAUGAACUGAGGGUAGCGGAGAAAUUCCAAUCGAACUUGGAGAUAGCUGGUUCUCUCCGAAAUAGCUUUAGGGCUAGCCUCAAGUGAUGAUUAUUGGAGGUAGAGCACUGUUUGGACGAGGGGCCCCUCUCGGGUUACCGAAUUCAGACAAACUCCGAAUGCCAAUUAAUUUAACUUGGGAGUCAGAACAUGGGUGAUAAGGUCCGUGUUCGAAAGGGAAACAGCCCAGACCACCAGCUAAGGUCCCAAAAUAUAUGUUAAGUGGAAAAGGAUGUGGCGUUGCCCAGACAACUAGGAUGUUGGCUUAGAAGCAGCCAUCAUUUAAAGAGUGCGUAAUAGCUCACUAGUCGAGUGACACUGCGCCGAAAAUGUACCGGGGCUAAACAUAUUACCGAAGCUGUGGAUUGUCCUUUGGACAAUGGUAGGAGAGCGUUCUAAGGGCGUCGAAGCAUGAUCGCAAGGACAUGUGGAGCGCUUAGAAGUGAGAAUGCCGGUGUGAGUAGCGAAAGACGGGUGAGAAUCCCGUCCACCGAUUGACUAAGGUUUCCAGAGGAAGGCUCGUCCGCUCUGGGUUAGUCGGGUCCUAAGCUGAGGCCGACAGGCGUAGGCGAUGGAUAACAGGUUGAUAUUCCUGUACCACCUAGUAUCGUUUUAAUCGAUGGGGGGACGCAGUAGGAUAGGCGAAGCGUGCUGUUGGAGUGCACGUCCAAGCAGUAAGGCUGAGUGUUAGGCAAAUCCGGCACUCAUAAGGCUGAGCUGUGAUGGGGAGAGGAAAUUGUUUCCUCGAGUCGUUGAUUUCACACUGCCGAGAAAAGCCUCUAGAUAGAUAACAGGUGCCCGUACCGCAAACCGACACAGGUAGUCAAGAUGAGAAUUCUAAGGUGAGCGAGCGAACUCUCGUUAAGGAACUCGGCAAAAUGACCCCGUAACUUCGGGAGAAGGGGUGCUCUUUAGGGUUCACGCCCAGAAGAGCCGCAGUGAAUAGGCCCAAGCGACUGUUUAUCAAAAACACAGGUCUCUGCUAAACCGUAAGGUGAUGUAUAGGGGCUGACGCCUGCCCGGUGCUGGAAGGUUAAGAGGAGUGGUUAGCUUCUGCGAAGCUACGAAUCGAAGCCCCAGUAAACGGCGGCCGUAACUAUAACGGUCCUAAGGUAGCGAAAUUCCUUGUCGGGUAAGUUCCGACCCGCACGAAAGGCGUAACGAUUUGGGCACUGUCUCAACGAGAGACUCGGUGAAAUCAUAGUACCUGUGAAGAUGCAGGUUACCCGCGACAGGACGGAAAGACCCCGUGGAGCUUUACUGUAGCCUGAUAUUGAAAUUCGGCACAGCUUGUACAGGAUAGGUAGGAGCCUUUGAAACGUGAGCGCUAGCUUACGUGGAGGCGUUGGUGGGAUACUACCCUAGCUGUGUUGGCUUUCUAACCCGCACCACUUAUCGUGGUGGGAGACAGUGUCAGGCGGGCAGUUUGACUGGGGCGGUCGCCUCCUAAAAGGUAACGGAGGCGCUCAAAGGUUCCCUCAGAAUGGUUGGAAAUCAUUCAUAGAGUGUAAAGGCAUAAGGG